rnacentral:misc_RNA from 1 species
AGUCAGGAUUUUCAGUCCCCGGAUAUGGUUGAAAUGAGGGAUAUGCGACAACCUAGGCCUGUGCAGGGUCGUAUGUACCCACCCAGUGAUUUCGGGGACUACAGGAGGCCUACACACGAAGAGCCGUCUCCUGAUUACAACCACGCGGUCCACCACAUAGACAAACGAUACAUACCGAUGCCUGGAAUAGCCGUAGCAAGAACCCGGAACAGCUUUGCGGGUAUAAGUGAAAAUCAAAGACAUAGUCAAAAUGGCGUCAUUAACAGGAACGAGGCUUUCGAGAAUAGGGGAUAUGUGGGAAAUGAUAAUCCGCGAUAUCCCGCCCCACGUGGAAUCCUCUCGGAGCAGCGACGCCCGACCAGCAUUGAUUCCAAACUUCCCGGGGACGCCUACAUUAAAUAUGACGGGAACCGGUAUACGACGUCUGAAUACAACCAUUAUAGUGAACCGGGCGGGGCAAAAACACAACCAUCUUGGAUAAUGAAAGCGCUUCCUUACAAAGAGGAGAAGCUCGAAAAACGCAAACCAGUAUUUACAAGUGGUGUUUUGGCGCGUUUAAUAGUGAUUGUGUGUAUCGUUUGGGAUUUGUGUAUGGAUUGGUUAAUAGUCAGUGCUGGAGAGAAAAACAAGUACUUUACGUUUGAUUCCUCUGAUGAAAAAGGACCAAUAUGUUACGUAAAUGAAAAGGUUUUUAUAGCGUUUGGAAACGAUACCCAAACUAGAAAUGCUACUUUAGGGUUAUGUGAAACGGAAAAUAUAUCCAAGAUGUGGAAAGCUUUGGUUGCGUUUUCUUUGAUUGGGUCCCUACUCGCAAUCAUUCAGAUUAUCAACAUUGGAUGCGAGAUGAUCAGUACCUGUAAACCCGGUGUGUUCCAAGUUUUACACGCACAGAGCGAAGUGCUGCUGGUCUUAUUUUUCGAAGAGCUUCCUCAAAUUGGUAUGACGCUCUCGUUCUUCGGUGUAUGUAGAUGCAAUGACGGAAAAUCUAUUGCUUUGUAUGGGCUUUUGAGCGUCAUCAGCGCUACUGUCUCUUUGACAGCGCGAUACGCCACUAGCUUUACCGGACUAGCCGGAGCAGGCGGAUGUUGCAACACAUGGUGGCGUUGCGGCUGCUGCAAGAAUCCCGAUUAUUGCUGUCGAAUUCGGCCAAGAGAAUUGUGUUGCACGUGCAACGUGCCCUGUCCGCUAUGUUGCUGUACCCUGUAUUGCAGAAGCUGUAAAUGGUCGCCACAGACAUGGUGUGCGCCGCUCAUGAAGGCUUUCUCAUGUUUUUGCCAUUGUUGCCAGUCGGAUGACGAUAUGUACGGUAUAAGAAUGGUUAACAAUUUGGGAAUUUUAGUUCUGUGGUUUUGCUCCAGCCUCCAAAUUGCAAUAUACGUCAUCACUUUCUUGUAAUAUAAUAUAACUAGUGAUCUGUGAGCAGAGCACAUUAUGUUAAGACAUGCAUGUAAGCUUUUGUGAUUACAGACAAAUAAUAAUUGAUGAUUCGAUUAAAAAAGAGUAAUAAGGGCACAGCUCGGCGACACAAAAAUUGACACCUCUUGAUCCAAUUGCGUCUCUUUAAACCAUUUAGUGAAUACCAUAAAACAGAAAAUAGAUCUACAAGAACUUCUAACCUACCAAUCAGCAUGGACAAGGAAGUCAUGGUUCCAAUCAUUUCGAAAAGUUUCUAUUAGUAUUAAAAAUCCAUUUAAUUUACCUUUACAUCUGCAACCUGUAUUCGAUCGAGUAUUAUAGAUAGACAUUGUCGAUUCAUUUAAAUGUUUAUUUAGUAUUUUAGGUAGAAUCAAUUAAGGAUUUACGUAAAACGAAUUGCUGGUUAUUUACAUGUUUUUAAGUUUUUGUAUUUAACGCAUAAGAAUGGUUAACUCAAAGAAAUCUGGUUAUUUCGUUUUGUAUAGCCAUACACUUCAUCACUUAUUUUAUAUAUUAUUCAGUAUUAUUUUGUUAACAGAGUGCAUAGUUAAAAUAUGUAUAUGUAACUUUUUGCGUGCAGCCGAAGAACUCGAAAGAAGAGCAGUGUCAUAAAUCUUAGAUUCUUCUUGUGGACAUUAUGUGGACACAGCCAACUCCUCGUUGUCAAAUGCGCCUCUAUCUAUCUAUAUUUUUUUGUGUACCAUAAAACUUCUUUUAAAGAAAUGCAAACUGCCAAUCAGGAGUAACUAGGAAGUUACGAAUUCAAUGAUUUACGGACAGUGCUUAAAGCAGUUCAAUGAAAUCGAUUUUUAACAUGCAUUUAAUUUACUGUGCAUCGACUAUCUGUAUUUGGUCGAGAAUUAGAGAUAAGUAUUGUCGAUUUAUUUACGGUAGUUGCGUAUUUUAAAAAGAAUCAUUAUGGAAUUAUGU